GUAGGUGGCAAGCGAUACUCGGAAUCACUAGGCGUAAAGCGCAGGUAGGCGGUUCGGUAAGUCUCUUGUGAAAGCUCCCGGCUCAACUGGGAGAGGUCAAGGGAAACUACCGGGCUAGAGUGUGGCAGAGGAAGCUAGAAUUCCCGGUGUAGCGGUGAAAUGCGUAGAUAUCGGGAGGAAUACCUAUGGCGAAAGCAGGCUUCUGGGCCGUCACUGACGCUGAGCUGCGAAAGCUAGGGGAGCAAACAGGAUUAGAUACCCUGGUAGUCCUAGCCCUAAACGAUGCUCAUUAGAUGUGGGAGGUAUCGACCCCUUCCGCGUCGAAGCUAACGCAUUAAAUGAGCCGCCUGGGGAGUACGGCCGCAAGGUUG
rnacentral:rRNA from 1 species